GACAGAGGUGCCAAGCGUUAGGCGGAAUCACUGGGCUUAAAGCGUGUGUAGGCGGAUUUCUAAGUACCUUGUGAAAUCCCACGGCUCAACCGUGGAACUGCUUGGUAUACUGGAUAUCUUGAGCCACUCAGGGGCGAGCGGAACAAAUGGUGGAGCGGUGAAAUGCGCAGAUAUCAUUUGGAACACCAAAGGUGAAAACAGCUCGCUGGGGGUGUGGCU
rnacentral:rRNA from 1 species